GACGAACGCUGGCGGCGUGCUUAACACAUGCAAGUCGAACGCUGAAGCUCAGCUUGCUGGGUGGAUGAGUGGCGAACGGGUGAGUAACACGUGAGUAACCUGCCCUCUUCUUUGGGAUAACGCCCGGAAACGGGUGCUAAUACUGGAUAUUCACUGAUUCUCGCAUGGGGGUUGGUGGAAAGGUUUUUUCUGGUGGGGGAUGGGCUCGCGGCCUAUCAGCUUGUUGGUGGGGUGAUGGCCUUCCAAGGCUUUGACGGGUAGCCGGCCUGAGAGGGUGACCGGUCACAUUGGGACUGAGAUACGGCCCAGACUCCUACGGGAGGCAGCAGUGGGGAAUAUUGCACAAUGGGCGAAAGCCUGAUGCAGCGACGCCGCGUGAGGGAUGGAGGCCUUCGGGUUGUAAACCUCUUUCGCUCAUGGUCAAGCCGCAGCUUUGGGUUGUGGUGAGGGUAGUGGGUAAAGAAGCGCCGGCUAACUACGUG
rnacentral:rRNA from 1 species